GAGCGGAAAGGCCCUUCGGGGUACUCGAGCGGCGAACGGGUGAGUAACACGUGAGCAACCUGCCCCUGGCUCUGGGAUAGCUCCCGGAAACGGGGAUUAAUACCGGAUACGACCCUGGUCCUCAUGGACCGGGGUGGAAAGUUUUUCGGCCAGGGUGGGGCUCGCGGCCUAUCAGCUUGUUGGGGGGGUAACGGCCCACCAAGGCGACGACGGGUAGCCGGCCUGAGAGGGCGACCGGCCACACUGGGACUGAGACACGGCCCAGACUCCUACGGGAGGCAGCAGUGGGGAAUAUUGCGCAAUGGGCGGAAGCCUGACGCAGCGACGCCGCGUGGGGGAUGAAGGCCUUACGGGUUGUAAACCUCUUUCACCAGGGACGAAGGGAGACUGACGGUAUAUGGGGAAGAAGCGCCGUCUAACUACGUGCCCGCAGCAGCGGU
rnacentral:rRNA from 1 species